rnacentral:rRNA from 1 species
GACGAACCGUGCGAACGUUGUUCGGAUUCACUGGGCUUAAAGGGCGCGUAGGCGGGCGGUCAAGUCGGGGGUGAAAUCUUUCAGCUCAACUGGAAAAGUGCCUUCGAUACUGACGGUCUGGAGGAAGGUAGGGGCAUGCGGAACUUCCGGUGGAGCGGUGAAAUGCGUAGAUAUCGGAAGGAACACCGAUGGCGAAAGCAGCGUGCUGGACCUUUUCUGACGCUGAGGCGCGAAAGCCAGGGGAGCAAACGGG